GGAUGGGCGCUUUUUAUUUAACCUCUUUUGGACUGAUGCAUGCAACAUUAAACAACUUGAGAGAUCAAAGACAAUUUUUAUUAUAACUCCGACAGGAUUCGUCUAAAAAAAAGUUAUAUACACAUAGGAUGACUUGAGGGUGAGUAAUUCAUGGGCUUAUUUUCAUUUUUGGGUGAACUAACCCUUUAAACCUAUGAAUACUCUACAGAAAACAAACUAUUAACAAGGCAAAAUCUAAAAUUAAUGGACUUUCUGUGAUGACGCAUUUCCACAAUUAUUAACAUUGUAUAGCAAAGUAAAUAUUUUCAUUUUGUGUUUUCUUACCUUGGCAUUAAAUUGCAUACUAUAAAUACUUAACACCAUUUCAAAAGCUGGCAAAUAUAACACAUUUCAUUCAUUUGACCAAAGUACCCUAAUCAAUCACUCAGAGAUUUUUUUUCUUUGUCCAGGGCACAAAAUAGUGAGGUCUACCAAUAUUUGGCAAUAGGCCUACUAUGAAAUAAUUUUAAGUUUCAAGAUGACUGCAGUAGUUAUAUAUAAAAGACAUGGAAGUAAUAUAAGACAUAUGAACAGCACCAGCAUGUUGGUUUUUAGACAAUGGUCAGAUUUCAUUUCAUUAUAGGCCUAUAAAAAAUACUGAAAAAAAAAAAAAACCAGAAUCCAGCUUUUGCUUAAGAUGUGGCCAGCAUUGCGCGCAUAAUAAAUAAAUAAAUACAUUUACAGAGCAUCAUCGUUGCAUUUAUGGUAAAUAUUUUAAAAAACAAAGUCUGUCCAUAUAACAUCAAUUAGGCACAACUUGCACAACCGCAUUGAGGGAAACACUGAAAGGGCAUGUUGGUUUAUCCCGACGGCGUUAGGACCUUCCAGGAGCGUCGAGCUGUAUCUGUGGAUUGGGAUGCAUCCUGCUCGCCGUUUCGCUACAAUGUCAGGAGCACGCCUGAUUUUUCUCAUCGCUUCCUGUAUAAUGUUUUUCCAUUCUGGAAAUGCUCAACUGGGAGAGUCUAGAUUUCAUGAUAGACCUUAUGAAGUCCUGCUGAGGCAAAAUCUGGUUCUUCUAAUAAGUGUUCUGUGCACACUGCUGGUGGUCAUGAUUGGAAUGGCAGUGUGUGUCUACAAACCCCUUCGACGCAGGUGA
rnacentral:lncRNA from 1 species